rnacentral:rRNA from 1 species
CAAGUAAUUAAGUGCAUGUGGUGGAUGCCUUGGCAGUCAGAGGCGAUGAAAGACGUGAUAGCCUGCGAAAAGCUCCGGGGAGGCGGCAAAUAUCCUUUGAUCCGGAGAUGUCUGAAUGGGGGAACCCACCUACUUUAAGGUAGGUAUUGCAACAUGAAUACAUAGUGUUGCAAGGCGAACGAGGGGAAGUGAAACAUCUCAGUACCCUUAGGAAAAGAAAUCAAUUGAGAUUCCCUCAGUAGCGGCGAGCGAACGGGGAUCAGCCCAUUAAGUUAUGUGUGUUUUAGUGGAACGCUCUGGGAAGUGCGAACGUAGAGGGUGAUAUUCCCGUACACGAAAGGGCACACAUAAUGAUGACGAGUAGGGCGAGGCACGUGAAACCUUGUCUGAAUAUGGGGGGACCAUCCUCCAAGGCUAAAUACUCCUGACUGACCGAUAGUGAACCAGUACCGUGAGGGAAAGGCGAAAAGAACCCCUGUGAGGGGAGUGAAAUAGAUCCUGAAACCGCAUGCAUACAAGCAGUGGGAGCACCUUCGUGGUGUGACUGCGUACCUUUUGUAUAAUGGGUCAGCGACUUAUAUUCAGUAGCGAGGUUAACCGUAUAGGGGAGCCGUAGAGAAAUCGAGUCUUAAUAGGGCGUUUAGUUGCUGGGUAUAGACCCGAAACCAGGCGAUCUAUCCAUGAGCAGGUUGAAGGUUGGGUAACACUAACUGGAGGACCGAACCCACUGUCGUUGAAAAGCCAGGGGAUGACUUGUGGAUAGGGGUGAAAGGCUAAUCAAGCCUGGUGAUAGCUGGUUCUCCCCGAAAGCUAUUUAGGUAGCGCCUCGGACGAAUACCAUAGGGGGUAGAGCACUGUUUCGGCUAGGGGGUCAUCCCGACUUACCAAACCGAUGCAAACUCCGAAUACCUAUGAGUACUAUCCGGGAGACAGACUGCGGGUGCUAACGUCCGUAGUCAAGAGGAAAACAAUCCAGACCGCCAGCUAAGGCCCCAAAAUCAUAGUUAAGUGGGAAACGAUGUGGGAAGGCAUAGACAGCUAGGAGGUUGGCUUAGAAGCAGCCACCCUUUAAAGAAAGCGUAAUAGCUCACUAGUCGAGUCGGCCUGCGCGGAAGAUGUAACGGGGCUAAAACUAUGUGCCGAAGCUGCGGAUGUAUACUUUGUAUACGUGGUAGGGGAGCGUUCUGUAAGCCGAUGAAGGUGUGUUGAGAAGCAUGCUGGAGGUAUCAGAAGUGCGAAUGCUGACGUGAGUAACGACAAAACGGGUGAAAAACCCGUUCGCCGAAAGACCAAGGGUUCCAGUCCAACGUUAAUCGGGGCUGGGUGAGUCGACCCCUAAGGCGAGGCCGAAAGGCGUAGUCGAUGGGAAAAUGGUUAAUAUUCCAUUACUUCUGUGUAAUGCGAUGAGAGGACGGAGAAGGCUAAAUCAGCCUGGCGUUGGUUGUCCAGGUGAAAGGAUGUAGGCAUGUAUCUUAGGCAAAUCCGGGGUACUCUAUGCUGAGAUCUGAUAGCAAGCUGUACUUGUACAGCGAAGUGGUUGAUGCCAUGCUUCCAGGAAAAGUCUCUAAGCUUCAGUUACACAGGAAUCGUACCCGAAACCGACACAGGUGGUCAGGUCGAGUAGACCAAGGCGCUUGAGAGAACUCUGCUGAAGGAACUAGGCAAAAUGGUACCGUAACUUCGGGAGAAGGUACGCUGUUGUUGGUGAUGGAACUCGCUUCCUGAGCUGACGACAGCCGCAGAAACCAGGCCGCUGCAACUGUUUAUUAAAAACAUAGCACUCUGCAAACACGAAAGUGGACGUAUAGGGUGUGAUGCCUGCCCGGUGCUGGAAGGUUAAUUGAUGGGGUUAGCGUAAGCGAAGCUCUUGAUCGAAGCCCCAGUAAACGGCGGCCGUAACUAUAACGGUCCUAAGGUAGCGAAAUUCCUUGUCGGGUAAGUUCCGACCUGCACGAAUGGCAUAAUGAUGGCGGCGCUGUCUCCAGCAGAGGCUCAGUGAAAUCGAAAUCGCUGUGAAGAUGCAGUGUACCCGCGGCUAGACGGAAAGACCCCGUGAACCUUUACUGCAGCUUGACACUGAACUUUGACCUUACUUGUGUAGGAUAGGUGGGAGGCUUUGAAGCUGGAACGCUAGUUCCAGUGGAGCCGUCCUUGAAAUACCACCCUGGUAAUGUUGAGGUUCUAACUCUGUCCCGUGAUCCGGGACGAGGACCGUGUCUGGUGGGUAGUUUGACUGGGGCGGUCUCCUCCUAAAGAGUAACGGAGGAGUACGAAGGUGCGCUCAGCGUGGUCGGAAAUCACGCGUAGAGUAUAAAGGCAAAAGCGCGCUUAACUGCGAGACCCACAAGUCGAGCAGGUACGAAAGUAGGUCUUAGUGAUCCGGUGGUUCUGUAUGGAAGGGCCAUCGCUCAACGGAUAAAAGGUACUCUGGGGAUAACAGGCUGAUACCGCCCAAGAGUUCAUAUCGACGGCGGUGUUUGGCACCUCGAUGUCGGCUCAUCUCAUCCUGGGGCUGAAGCAGGUCCCAAGGGUAUGGCUGUUCGCCAUUUAAAGAGGUACGCGAGCUGGGUUUAGAACGUCGUGAGACAGUUCGGUCCCUAUCUACCGUGGGCGCUGGAAAUUUGAGAGGAUCUGCUCCUAGUACGAGAGGACCAGAGUGGACGAACCUCUGGUGUACCGGUUGUGACGCCAGUCGCAUCGCCGGGUAGCUAUGUUCGGAAGGGAUAACCGCUGAAAGCAUCUAAGCGGGAAGCCUACCUCAAGAUAAGAUUUCCCUAGGACUUUAUGUCCUCUAAAGAGCCGUUUGAGACUAGGACGUUGAUAGGUUGGAUGUGGAAGCAUAGUGAUAUGUGAAGCUGACCAAUACUAAUUGCUCGUGAGGCUUGACUA